rnacentral:rRNA from 1 species
UACGUAGGCAGCGAGCGUUGUUCGGAGUUACUGGGCGUAAAGCGUGCGCAGGCGGUUUGUUAAGUCUGCUGUGAAAUCCCCGAGCUCAACUUGGGAAUUGCAGUGGAUACUGGCAGGCUGGAGUAUGGUAGAGGAAGGUGGAAUUCCCGGUGUAGCAGUGAAAUGCGUAGAGAUCGGGAGGAACACCAGUGGCGAAGGCGGCCUUCUGGACCAAUACUGACGCUCAUGCACGAAAGCGUAGGGAGCAAACAGG